rnacentral:tRNA from 1 species
GCGAGUGUGGUGGAAUGGUAGACACGCCUGACUUAGGAUCAGGUGCCUAGCGGCUUGGGGGUUCAAGUCCCUUCACUCGCA